UACAGUAGCAAGGAGAAAAGGCGAAAGAAAAAGCAAUGCCGACUUAGCUGGGAGCCCGUCUGAACUUUUGACAACCUCUAACCCAGGCAUUACAGACUCCUCUCCUAGUCAACAAACCUCUCAUGAGAUGGACAACGAGUCAGCCACAUUUCACCAUGUGUCUGGCACUUCCUUGGAAACCGCGGGUCCACGGUGGAGGGGCCAGUUGUCUGGGAAAGAAUGCUAGGGGUCUAGAGUGGCCCGGGUUAGGCAACGGCCUGGCCAUUGUGCCCCAAGAGAAGUCUGUCCAGUACAGCCCCCUUAUGUGCUGCAGCUGCAGCUGGAGCUGCCAGCCAGCCCAUAAUCAACUCUGCCAUCUACUUUUCUUGUACACUACAUUUGCUCUCCAACAUUAAACUUGUGAAUGAGCCAAAUGACCAGCAUCACCGCGGUGAGGGCAUCCAACACCAGGAGCCCACGCCUGUCCUGUCCCUGUCGACCCUGGUGCUCUGUUCUCAGCUCCUAAUGUGGCAGGAAAAGUGUGAACAUGGCUUUGGCAAACUGCAGUUCAGCUCGCCAUCAUCACCAUCAGAAAGGGGAAACAUGCACACUGCUUGGACAUCUGGUCUGCAAGUUCCUGCAAAGGAUCCACUCCUUGUACUUCCAGCCAGAGGUUUUAGGUAAUAAUCCCUGACAUACUUGACAAAUCUGAUUUGUUCUGUUACAAGUAUUACAGCUGCUUCAUUACAGUUGAGCAUGGAAUCUCUGGAAACAGUAUUAUGUAACAAAAUAGUCUAAACACGAGGGGCCACUAACUUGCUUAAGUGUACUUAUUUUAGAUUAUUUUGUUUUAUACUAUUUGUCAUAUGAUCUCUGGGAUGUGAAGUGCAGAAGCAGGAUAGCAAUGCCUUUCACAAUGAAAGAUGUCCCCAUUAUUUUAAUCACAGAUUAAAGUUGCACUGUGGAGUUUUGUUGUCCAGUGCUUCUUACAAAAACACACUGUGUAUCCUUGAGGUCUACCAAACAUGCUGAAUGCAUUCUUCUUAUUCACUGUUGUUGCAGGUGCAUUGCUACACUUUUUUGCGUGUUAUGGCUACUAACUGUCAAUCUGUGCAAAUAGCAUGAAACCUGCAGCAGGACUGUGUACUGUGUCUCAUGAGUUAGAUCCUAAGUUGGAUCUAACUCGGAAAAAUAUUGCUCCAUAGUGCUACAGGGUUCCUUUCAAGGGACUUAAAUUUUGAAUUAAAUUUGAGCAUGUAAGUUUAUUUGUGACAUUUUGGAACAGUAUAAUCUAAGAUAGUAAGGGGACCUUUGAUCUCAUCAUGUCAUCAGUGAAAGUUUUACAUUUGCUUUGCAUCUGUGACCAGACAAAAUACAAUUUGUUAUUAUUUGUUAAUUUAUUUGUUAAUUAUCUGUAUCAUAUAGAAGCACUACAGCAAUGACUUUCAAAAAGA